ACGUAGGGUGCAAGCGUUAAUCGGAAUUACUGGGCGUAAAGCGUGCGCAGGCGGUCGCACAAGACAGAUGUGAAAUCCCCGGGCUUAACCUGGGAACUGCAUUUGUGACUGUGUGGCUAGAGUACGGUAGAGGGGAGUGGAAUUCCGCGUGUAGCAGUGAAAUGCGUAGAUAUGCGGAGGAACACCGAUGGCGAAGGCAGCUCCCUGGACCUGUACUGACGCUCAUGCACGAAAGCGUGGGGAGCAAACAGGAUUAGAUACCCUAGUAGUCCACGCCCUAAACGAUGUCAACUGGUUGUUGGGAGGGAUACUUCUCAGUAACGAAGCUAACGCGUGAAGUUGACCGCCUGGGGAGUACGGCCGCAAGGUUG
rnacentral:rRNA from 1 species